GACGAACGCUGGCGGCGUGCUUAACACAUGCAAGUCGAACGGAAAGGCCCUGCUUUUGUGGGGUGCUCGAGUGGCGAACGGGUGAGUAACACGUGAGUAACCUGCCCUUGACUUUGGGAUAACUUCAGGAAACUGGGGCUAAUACCGGAUAGGAGCUCCUGCUGCAUGGUGGGGGUUGGAAAGUUUCGGCGGUUGGGGAUGGACUCGCGGCUUAUCAGCUUGUUGGUGGGGUAGUGGCUUACCAAGGCUUUGACGGGUAGCCGGCCUGAGAGGGUGACCGGCCACAUUGGGACUGAGAUACGGCCCAGAGUGCUACGGGAGGCAGCAGGGGGGAAUAUUGCACAAUGGGCGGAAGCCUGAUGCAGCAACGCCGCGUGCGGGAUGACGGCCUUCGGGUUGUAAACCGCUUUCGCCUGUGACGAAGCGUGAGUGACGGUAAUGGGUAAAGAAGCACCGGCUAACUACGUG
rnacentral:rRNA from 1 species